CGUCCUCUCGAUCGCCUGCUCGAUCGAUCACGGGAUCAUCAUUCAUUCACCUCCUCCGCCUCUCCGCUUUGCUCUGCUCGGCUACAGCACCUCGCCGGCGCCGAGGCAAGGUGAGCCCAACCCCUCGGACUCGCUCGCCUCCCCCUUCCUCCGAACGGCAUUGGACCGACCGAUCCUUACUGGGCAGUAAACCUAGGUUGGUUGGCGGCGGGGGCGGCGUCGGUCUGGCCAGCAGGCGCCCGGGUCCAUGGACUCCGGCGAGGCACCUGAUGAGCGGAUUCGCGAGGAAGGGGGUUUCCGGAGGAGCGACCGGAGUGCCAGCGAUACCCUGACUCGGCGUCACGCAGAUGGAGCAGGCUCAGACGCUAAUGGGCAUGACCGCGGCCUCACCAAGCGCGCGAAGGACGAAGUGCCGGACUCACCGGAGCCGCCGCCGGCCGUGGGGCCUCGCCGUGUCCAGAGCAGAGAGGAGCAGUUCGUGUGGCCGUGGAUGGGCGUGCUGGCCAACGUGCCCACCGAGCGGAGAGGCGGGCGGCAGAUCGGGGAGAGCGGGAACCGGCUCAAGGAGCAGCUCGCCGCCUUCUGCCCGCACAAGGUCGUGCCUCUGUGGAGCCACAGAGGCCACACCGGGAACGCCAUCGUCGAGUUCGGGAAGGACUAUGCCUCUCUCGGCAAUGGUCUCAAAUUUGAGAGUCACUUUGAGGCACAGGGCCGUGGCAAACUUAGCUGGGAGGCGAGCAGGUGCCGAGGAGCGCCGGAGAUGAUGUUCGGGUGGGUUGCAAGGGCCGACGAUCGACGGAGGCCGGGGCUGAUCGGGGAGUACCUGCAGAGGAAUGGCGAUGUGAAGUCCGUUGCAGAGCUUGAGAGCGAAGGGACGCGCAAGACUGACAAGCUGGUGGCCAAUUUGGCCAGCCAGAUUGAGGUGAAGGCCAAGCAUGUCCAGGAGCUUGAGUCCAAGUACAGUGAGAGGACUACCUCGAUGGACAGGGUGAUGGAAGAGAAGGAGCUCAUGCUCCAGCGAUACAACGAUGAAAUCCACAAGAUGCAGCAGCUUGCUCGUCGGCACUCUCAGAUGAUUAUCAAUGAGAAUCAGAAGGUCCGUUCGGAGCUGGAUUCCAAGAUGCAGGAUCUUGAGCUCAAAUCCAAGCAGCUCGAUGAGCUUGCUGUGCGUAGCGAAUCUGACAUAAGGAAUCUCGAGAAGGAGAAGGAAAAGAACAUGAUCAAGGCAAAAUAUCUCAAGAUGGCAACAUUGGAGCAACAGAAGGCCGACGAAAUGGUCCUGAAGCUUGUGGAAAAACACAAGAGGGAGAAACAAGCUGCUGUAGAUGAGAUUAUCAAGUUAGAGCAGAAACUGGAUGCCAGACAAAAGCUUGAGUUAAAAAUAAAACAUCUGCAGGGAAAAUUGAAUGUUAUGAAGCAUAUGCCAGGCGAGGAAGACUUUGAAUCAAAGAGGAAAAUUGAUGAACUUAGCAAGGAGCUGCAGGAGAAGUAUGAUGAAAUAAAUGAGAUGGAAUCACUCCAUGGGGCUCUGCUUAUUAAGGAAAGGAUGAGCAACGAUGAGUUGCAAGAUGCUCGGAAGAAGCUAAUAGAUGGUUUGUUGGAUGUCACAACUGGCCGAGCAAAUAUAGGCAUUAAAAGAAUGGGUGAUCUUGAUCUGAAAUCAUUUGCGAUUGCCUGCAAACGUAAAAUGGCAAAAGAAGAUGCAGAAGUUACUGCCUCCAUUCUUUGUUCAAAGUGGGAGGAUGAGAUUAGAAAUCCAGAAUGGCACCCUUUUAAAGUUGUUGUGGAUGGCGGCAAAGCGAAGGAGAUUCUCCGUGAGGACGAUGAGAAGCUGCGGGAGCUGAAGGAGAAGUACGGUGAGGAGGUGUGCACCCUGGUGACGAAGGCGCUGCUGGAGGUGAACGAGUACAACCCGAGCGGGCGCUACUCGGUGCCGGAGCUGUGGAACUUCAAGGAAGACCGGAAGGCGACACUCAAGGAGGUGGUGGAGUUCGUCCUCAAGCAGUGGCGCGCCCUCAAGAAGAGGAAGCGCUGAGCUGAGCACGCUGUUGCGACUGAAGCAGAGUAGUGAGAUACCGAACCUAGAGCAGCUGCUGCUGCACUGACGUCCCAUAUUCCUAUUGUCUGAUGAACAAACAAUUUAGGUCUGACACUGAUAACCUUUGUCUGUUGUGUUCUCUCAUGAACGAUGAUCGACUCUUGAUGUUGGUGAACCUACGGUUGGUUGUCGGAGUUUAAUGGCCGGAUUAUUCAGUGAAUGCUGCUAAUUUGAGAUUCUGAAGUGGCAUUUUAG
rnacentral:rRNA from 1 species